CUAAAAUCAGAUCUGGCGAGUAUUCUUGCACUGCCUAUGUGACAUUUAAAGAUGCCUAUGCUCUGGAAACUGCUGUCUUGCUCAGUGGAGCUAAAAUUGCAGAUCAACAUGUAUGCAUAUCAUGCUGGGGGACAUAUAUUGAUGAAUCAGAUCCUUGGAAUAACCCGUCAUAGAAGCUUGGAGAAGAAAAUAGCUCAACGGUAUGAACCUUCUCUUUUCCCUAUUUGUAGGUAAAGUCAUGAGUUGUCAUGAAUUGUUUAGUCUUGCUUAAAAGAGUUCCAUUAAAGAGGUAAAACAAGUAUCUUUUGGCCAUCUUUUACAACAUAGUGAACAAACAUUCAAUAUUUGGGAAUCACCGGAUAUUAUGAAGUUUGGAAAUUAUUCCACAAAUAGUAGCUUGUAGAAGUAGCUAGCAUAACUCUUACAUCACUAAGUAAAAAGAGGUUAUUUUUUAAUUAUUGAGCUAUGUUACAUGGACCAUACGAGUAUUGCGUACAGCCAGUGUUGCAGCUGAUUUGGGUAGUCACGGUGUUAAAAAGUGAACUUUUUUGGUCAAGAAAACCCGUUUUCCGGUAAUGAUUCUUGACUUCUUUAAAUUGUUCAUGUUAGAUAGAUUUACAUAUAAAUCAGGAGAGUUUUGUUGUACAUCAACAAAGUAUUUUGUUUGAUAAUGAGUUACUAAUUGUGCUUAAUGUGAUAUGAUCAUUUGGGUUCAUUUGCAGCA